rnacentral:miRNA from 1 species
UACGACCCACUGGAAACUAAA